CAAAAUUUAAGUCACAAUUUUUUAAUCUUUCCUCCAUACUGCAGAACUUCUGAUAUAAGAAAACAGUGAUGUGCAAAGUUACUAAUCAUCUGACAUUUGGCAUCAGUGGCGUACCGCACAUCUUAAAGGACCCCCCCACAAAGAACGAGAUGGGGCCCCUCCCACCAGCAGUGAUGUCAUGUACGAAAAGUUAUUGUGCACCUGCUGCAAGUAUACUACUGAGUCCGUCUCUCCCAUUUACA